CAAUAGCGUAUAUUAAAGUUGUUGCAGUUAAAAAGCUCGUAGUUGGAUUUCUGGUCGGAAGCUCCUGUCCUCUGAUGAGCGUACAAGUGCGUCCUACCAUCCUUCUGUUAACCUUUAAGGCUUUCGCGGCUUUCUAGGGGCUCAGAUAUUUUACCUUGAGAAAAUUAGAGUGUUUCAGGCAGGCUAGCGCCGGAAUACAUUAGCAUGGAAUAAUGGAAUAGGACUUUCGCCUCUUCUGUUGGUCAUGAGGCUCGAGUAAUGAUUAAUAGGGAUAGUUGGGGGCAUUAGUACUUAACUGUCAGAGGUGAAAUUCUCGGAUUUGUUAAAGACUAACUUAUGCGAAAGCAUUUGCCAAGGAUGUUUUCAUUAA
rnacentral:rRNA from 1 species